AUGAACGCUGGCGGCGUGCCUAAUACAUGCAAGUCGAGCGCACGGACGAGAAGCUUGCUUCUCUGAUGUUAGCGGCGGCCGGGUGAGUAACACGUGGAUAACCUACCUAUAAGACUGGGAUAACUUCGGGAAACCGGAGCUAAUACCGGAUAAUAUUUUGAACCGCAUGGUUCAAAAGUGAAAGACGGUCUUGCUGUCACUUAUAGAUGGAUCCGCGCUGCAUUAGCUAGUUGGUAAGGUAACGGCUUACCAAGGCAACGAUGCAUAGCCGACCUGAGAGGGUGAUCGGCCACACUGGAACUGAGACACGGUCCAGACUCCUACGGGAGGCAGCAGUAGGGAAUCUUCCGCAAUGGGCGAAAGCCUGACGGAGCAACGCCGCGUGAGUGAUGAAGGUCUUCGGAUCGUAAAACUCUGUUAUUAGGGAAGAACAUAUGUGUAAGUAACUGUGCACAUCUUGACGGUACCUAAUCAGAAAGCCACGGCUAACUACGUG
rnacentral:rRNA from 1 species